UGUCUCUGGUGAUGAAUGUGCAUUACACUUCCUGAAAAACAUUUACAGUCUCCAUGGCUGCCUCUGACAGGGCACAGACACGGCCGGCUGGUCAGCGGCCAUCAAAA